GAUGAACGCUGACAGAAUGCUUAACACAUGCAAGUCGAUGGGGAAGUGGUGCUUGCACCAUGGCAACCAUGGCGGACGGGUGAGUAACGCGUAAGGGACUUACCUGCAGGACUGGGAUAACAGGGGGAAACUCCUGACAAGACCGGAUAAUGUCAUGGAGCUGCAUGGCUUUAUGAUGAAAGGAGACGCCUGCGGAGAGCCUUGCGUCCUAUUAGCUAGUUGGUGAGGUAAUGGCUCACCAAGGCGAAGAUAGGUAGCCGGCCUGAGAGGGUGGACGGCCACAAGGGGACUGAGAUACGGCCCUUACUCCUACGGGAGGCAGCAGUGGGGAAUAUUGGACAAUGGGGGCAACCCUGAUCCAGCAAUUCUGUGUGCACGAAGAAGGUUUUCGGAUUGUAAAGUGCUUUCAGCAGGGAAGAAGGAAGUGACGGUACCUGCAGAAAAGCG
rnacentral:rRNA from 1 species